GAUGAACGCUGGCGGCGUGCCUAAUACAUGCAAGUCGAGCGAACGGACGAGAAGCUUGCUUCUCUGAUGUUAGCGGCGGGCGGGUGAGUAGCACGUGGAUAACCUACCUAUAAGACUGGGAUAACUUCGGGAAACCGUAGCUAAUACCGGAUAAUAUUUUGAACCGCAUGGUUCAAAAGUGAAAGACGGUCUUGCUGUCACUUAUAGAUGGAUCCGCGCUGCAUUAGCUAGUUGGUAAGGUAACGGCUUACCAAGGCAACGAUGCAUAGCCGACCUGAGAGGGUGAUCGGCCACACUGGAACUGAGACACGGUCCAGACUCCUACGGGAGGCAGCAGUAGGGAAUCUUCCGCAAUGGGCGAAAGCCUGACGGAGCAACGCCGCGUGAGUGAUGAAGGUCUUCGGAUCGUAAAACUCUGUUAUUAGGGAAGAACAUAUGUGUAAGUAACUGUGCACAUCUUGACGGUACCUAAUCAGAAAGCCACGGCUAACUACGUG
rnacentral:rRNA from 1 species